AACGAACGCUGGCGGCAGGCUUAACACAUGCAAGUCGAACGCCCCGCAAGGGGAGUGGCAGACGGGUGAGUAACGCGUGGGAAUCUACCCAGAUCUUCGGAACAACUGAGGGAAACUUCAGCUAAUACCGGAUACGCCCUACGGGGGAAAGAUUUAUCGGUUCUGGAUGAGCCCGCGUUUGGAUUAGCUAGUUGGUGAGGUAAUGGCUCACCAAGGCGACGAUCCAUAGCUGGUCUGAGAGGAUGAUCAGCCACACUGGGACUGAGACACGGCCCAGACUCCUACGGGAGGCAGCAGUGGGGAAUAUUGGACAAUGGGCGAAAGCCUGAUCCAGCCAUGCCGCGUGAGUGAUGAAGGCCUUAGGGUUGUAAAGCUC
rnacentral:rRNA from 1 species